rnacentral:rRNA from 1 species
GUCGACAACUGGUGCAAGCUACAUGUGCACGGUAUCGGGCUUGCGGAAUAGGUGAGAGAGGAGGGAACAGUCAGAGAGGGGUAGGGUCGUUAGGGGGGAGACAGCACCGAGGCAGCGGCCCUGCGCUGAUCACGCAGCAGUAGGAAGAGGAGCGCGAGCCGCGUUGCGAUAGCUCCUCGCGGUCGAUGGUCCGCAGUACAGACCCGCUACUCUGCCCGUCGUCGCCUGUAUCCUCGAGCCCGUCUAAGCCCCGCAGCGUGCCGUCUCCGCCCGCCCGCCCGAGGCUACAGGAGUGGCCGCAGCAAUUAACCUCGUACCCCCUCUGCCUCCACGGGGGCGCAACACGAGGGGCGUUUAAGGGGAGGCAGCACCGAGGUAGAGGUCGCGGCGAAAGGAGGUGGCAGGUCUACUUCCUUGACGGUACCCUAGGUGGCCUCCGACCGCGGUGGCGGCACCUUAGGUACCGACCCUGCAGACGGUCCACUACCUAGAUCGACUCCGUACCGGCGUCGGCGUUCUCCUCCCGAGGUGUAGCUGCCGCGGGCUCCUCUACUACUACUGAUGGUGUGUAGACGGCGAAGGGCUGCGCCACUAGUACUUGCGCUCGAAGGGAGGCGGAGAGCCGGCCCAAGCUGGGCUCGUGUCCACGUCGUCGAUAGCCAUCUUGAUCUACCGUAGUAUCCUCCACACAAGCUGGUAAAUGUCGUCGUGUGAUGUGUUCGGGGGGCACGACCGAUUCAGGGAACGUCCGAAAAAAAUCGCGUCGUCAUACGUUAACCCAACACGGAGUGAAAAAAAUAAAGACCCGAGUACUGAACACACGGUUCACCCGGUGGUCCCCCCAGCAAGUCCUGCCCUGUAAAAGACUAGCUUGAUUUAGCAAGCCAUCCAAGGGGUGGUACAUUGCUUGCUGAGCAAGCCCAACUCCUAGAGGGUAGGCCUUGCAAGCCAUCAAUAACUGCAGGAUCUCAAUUCGUAGUAGUCCGAUGAAGACCAUACACAAGAUAAAAAUCCCACCUUCUAGUUUUAUAAAAAGUACGGGACCACUCCACGGGAUUCCGCUUCCUAGAAGUAUACCGUGUCUCUCUUCAAACUUUAUAAGAACCCCUUCUCCAAAAGUUGAAGGAAUAAACCGACCUAGUCAACUCAGGAAGUCACGAACUCGUUUAGUAUAAGUAGAAAACCUCUCGGACUGUGAAUUCUUUACUGAACUAAACGGAGACGAUAAAAUCACCUAUUGAUAACCACCAGAAAGAGCAGUACGGAAGGUUUAUAACUCAACUAAGGAUGGCAGUUUCCGUCCCGCCACCUCCGUCCUAAUUUGGGUCAGUUAUGAUCAUCCUCGUAGUAACUUCACACCGUCGGAGCGGAGACUAAUAUAAUUCUAAUUAUAACUACGAUCGAGACACCCAUAGUCGUGAUGUUCGUACCCCACCAACGGUCUUUAAGAAGACCACUACAGGAAAGAAGAUAUGAUCUCCAACAUGCACUAAACAACACAACAACUAUUACAACUC